GUGAAUCAUCAAAUCUUUGAACGCAAAUUGCACUCUCCUCGGAGAGUAUGCCUGUUUGAGGGUCAGCCUAUAAAAAUCGACAUCGUUGCUGUUUCGCGGUGGCGUUCGUCGGAAAUUGGGUCAUCUUAAAUCCUUUUGAUUUAAGCGACUUAAAAUUUUCUUUUGGUUCCUGAACGGUUUCAAGAUUUAAUUUCUUUAAAGGUUAAGGGAUUGG
rnacentral:misc_RNA from 1 species